ACUGCACAGCUACGAACCACUCCCUUGGCAGACGCAGCUCGAACCAACGGAUACCUUCUUCCGGAUAACUGUCAAAAGCACAAAAUAAGAGAGAAGGAAUUGGAACAGUCUUUCUGACUUGAGCAUCCGUGUAAGAAACACGCAUGCGGGAACACCCGCAGCUGCACAGCAGAACUGCAGAGACUUAGUGUGUCGUCAGCAAAUCGGAACGACGAAACAAAAGCCGGAUCGAGAAGUUCCCCGCCACGGAGCACACGGACCCGAACAUACAAAGUGCGGAAGAGAAAGACGCCAGACACAUUCAUUGGAAACCCCAAAAGGGUUUUUGUUUUUCCUUUUCAUCCUAUUCUGCGGAAUCAGUCAUCGACGACUGACUCGAUCUUGGUCCAACCAUCUUCAACGUGGACGGUUCCCUUCUACUUGGAGGUUAAGCGCGACUACACGGCAGAACACGAGGAGGAACCGAAAUUAUUACACUGUGGUUCUGGAAGCCGGAUUGAUUAGCCGAGAUCGUGAGUCACACACCGACAUCGAUCGUAUUUCCGACGGAGGCGUUUGGACUAGUGGCCUCGUGCGAGACACAGGAGUUUUGAUUGGUGCGAUGAGAUUGGGUGCGAGCGUGACGUCAUCGCACUGAUAGUGAGUGAUUUGCUGAUCGCAAGCCGGAGAGUAAUUGGUCUUCGUCGCGGAUCGAUCUCCGACCAGACAGGCGCUUGCGGCUUAAUUACCGUUGCGUUGCGCGCAGAAUAUUGGAGUAAGAGCCGUAGCGGGAUUGUGGACUGAGCGAUUUCGAGCUUCGGACGAUAGUUGUUGGCAGUGCUGACAAUGACAUCGGUCGGAUAAGGACGAUGGGGAUUCGAUCGUCCAGUGAGCAAGGCUUCGGUACCGUGAGUAAAAGAUUUGUUGUGAGUUUAUGGAAGAUGAUAGCGUAGGAAAAUGAUAAUCAGGGUAAUAGAAAUGUGUAGAGCUGGAUAGCGAAAGAAGUGCUUUAGGUUUAGAGAAAGAAAGUGAGGAGGCGGAAAAGUAGAUUGGAGUACAUGCUCGAAAAUAUAUAAGCAAUAUGAAACGAUACACAAAAUGAUUUUAUUUGGGCUAGUUGGCUUUCCGUCGCCGAAGGAAGAAAUUCCUAUAUUUUACAUUGGCGCCCAACUGAAAACCCCAUCUAUUUAAAAAAUUUAUAUUAGAAUUUGAGUUUUGUGAUUUG